CGUGGUGUGAUGUACACCUCAGGGACAGAACACGCGCCUACUUGAAAGCCACACAGCCUUGGGCCCGGAGGCGUUAUCUCCGGGGCCCUUCCGUGGAGAUCUGCCGAGCCUCCCCGCGAGGUUCCCGAGCUCACUGAACAAGCGCACAACCGGCUAGGCUGCUUCGGGGAGCGACCUGCAGUGGAAAGGCCGGGACUAGUCUCCGGUCCUAGCGGUGCUGGGUGCAGGAGGCCGCAGCCACCCGCGGACGCCAAGUAACUCACACCGGCUUUCUCCAGUAAUAAUCAGAGGGAGGAGGGAGCGUGCGAGGAGUACUGGAAAGACUGAGGGGCUCUAAACCCGCUGUCCAAGGGCCAGAGGCUGGAGAGGGGCCUAUGAGAUUGCACUUUGCUGGCGAGGACUUUCCUCUGAACCAUCCGGCCGGUGCCAGGGUUGUGAAGCGGAAAAAAGGCACUUCCGACCCAAGAAUUCUCAAGCUUCCCUGGGAGCGCGCGUCCGGAGAGCGGUGAGGCCCACGCGCGCCCGGAUGUGGCGACCUUGGAGCCCGCGAGAUCUACUGCAGCUUUUGGCUCCCGGGCGUGUGAGAGACGGAAACUUGGCCUCGGUCCUAUCUUGUCCCAGGCGGUUGCCCCAUUUACCUCGGUGGCGGGCCAGACGCGAAGAUUCUUCUUCCUCUUGUCAGAGUGAUGGCAGAAAGAAGACUUAUUAAAGAAGACGUUUAUGUUGUUGUUGUUGAGGAAUAAUGGAAAUGUUCAAUGUUGAGAGAAAGUGCAAAAGAAUAAAUCUAAUCCACAAUAGAAUUAAA